rnacentral:rRNA from 1 species
GACGAAGGAUGCAAGCGUUAUCCGGAUUCAUUGGGUUUAAAGGGAGCGUAGGUGGCCUUAUAAGUCAGUGGUGAAAUCUCUGGGCUUAACCCAGAAAUUGCCAUUGAUACUGUAGGAGCUUGAGUAUAGUUGCCGUUGGCGGAAUAUGACAUGUAGUGGUGAAAUACAUAGAGAUGUCAUAGAACACCGAUUGCGAAGGCAGCUAACGAAACUAUAACUGACACUGAGGCUCGAAAGUGCGGGGAUCAAACAGG